CAGUAGCCGCGGUAAUACAGAGGGUGCGAGCGUUAAUCGGAUUUACUGGGCGUAAAGCGUGCGUAGGCGGCUUUUUAAGUCGGAUGUGAAAUCCCUGAGCUUAACUUAGGAAUUGCAUUCGAUACUGGGAAGCUAGAGUAUGGGAGAGGAUGGUAGAAUUCCAGGUGUAGCGGUGAAAUGCGUAGAGAUCUGGAGGAAUACCGAUGGCGAAGGCAGCCAUCUGGCCUAAUACUGACGCUGAGGUACGAAAGCAUGGGGAGCAAACAGGAUUAGAUACCCCUGUAGUCCCUGUCUCUUAUAA
rnacentral:rRNA from 1 species